rnacentral:rRNA from 1 species
UACGGAGGGAGCUAGCGUUGUUCGGAAUUACUGGGCGUAAAGCGCACGUAGGCGGCUAUUUAAGUCAGGGGUGAAAUCCCGGGGCUCAACCCCGGAACUGCCCUUGAAACUGGGUAGCUAGAAUCUUGGAGAGGUCAGUGGAAUUCCGAGUGUAGAGGUGAAAUUCGUAGAUAUUCGGAAGAACACCAGUGGCGAAGGCGACUGACUGGACAAGUAUUGACGCUGAGGUGCGAAAGCGUGGGGAGCAAACAGG